rnacentral:rRNA from 1 species
CCUACGGGCGGCAGCAGUAGGGAAUUUUCGUCAAUGGGCGCAAGCCUGAACGAGCAAUGCCGCGUGAACGAGGAAGGUCUUCGGAUCGUAAAGUUCUGUUGAAGGGGAAAAAGAGCGGAGAGAGGACAUGCUUUCUGAUUGAUAUUACCCUUCGAGGAAGUCACGGCUAACUACGUGCCAGCAGCGGCGGUAAUACGUAGGUGGCGUGCGUUAUCCGGAAUGGUGGGGCGUAAAGGCGGCGUAGACGGCCUGCAAAGUCGGGAGUGAAAGGUACCGGCUCAACCGGUACAGGCUUUGGAAACUGGCGGGCUAGAGAGCAGGAGAGGGCGGUGGAACUCCAUGUGUAGCGGUAAAAUGCGUAGAUAUAUGGAAGAACACCAGUGGCGAAGGCGGCCGCCUGGCCUGUUACUGACGCUGAGGCACGAAAGCGUGGGGAGCAAAUAGGAUUAGAUACCCGGGUAGUC